UACGGAGGGUGCAAGCGUUAUCCGGAAUCACUGGGUUUAAAGGGUGCGUAGGCGGCUUGGUAAGUCAGGGGUGAAAGCCCGCAGCUUAACUGCGGAACUGCCUUUGAUACUGCCGAGCUUGAAAGAGGUUGAGGUCAGCGGAACGUGACAUGUAGCGGUGAAAUGCAUAGAUAUGUCACAGAACACCAAUUGCGAAGGCAGCUGGCUGGACCGACUUUGACGCUGAGGCACGAAAGCGUGGGGAGCGAACAGG
rnacentral:rRNA from 1 species